GACGAACCGAGCGAACGUUGUUCGGAAUCACUGGGCUUAAAGGGCGCGUAGGCGGGUGCUCAAGUCCGGGGUGAAAUCCUCCAGCUCAACUGGAGAACUGCCUCGGAUACUGGGCGUCUCGAGUGUGGUAGGGGUGUGCGGAACUAUCGGUGGAGCGGUGAAAUGCGUUGAUAUCGAUAGGAACUCCGGUGGCGAAGGCGGCAUACUGGACCACCACUGACGCUGAUGCGCGAAAGCCAGGGGAGCAAACGGG
rnacentral:rRNA from 1 species